UUGUUGGUGAGGUAAUGGCUCACCAAGGCGACGACGGGUAGCCGGCCUGAGAGGGCGACCGGCCACACUGGGACUGAGACACGGCCCAGACUCCUACGGGAGGCAGCAGUGGGGAAUAUUGCACAAUGGGCGAAAGCCUGAUGCAGCGACGCCGCGUGAGGGAUGACGGCCUCGGUUGUAAACCUCUUCAGCAGGAAGAAGCGAAAGUGACGGUACCUGCAGAAGAAGCACCGGCUAACUACGUGCCAGCAGCCGCGGUAAUACGUAGGUGCGAGCGUUGUCCGGAAUUAUUGGCGUAAAGAGCUUGUAGCGGUUUGUCGCGUCUGCUGUGAAAAUCCGGGGCUCGAACCCCGGACUUGCGAGUGGGUACGGGCAGACUAGAGUGUGGGAGAGGUGAGUGGAAUUCCUAGUGUAGC
rnacentral:rRNA from 1 species